AAUCAACGCUGGCGGCGUGCCUCAGACAUGCAAGUCGAACGCGAAAGUCCCCUUCGGGGGACAAGUAGAGUGGCGCACGGGUGAGUAACACGUAGGUAAUCUACCUUCGGAUGGGGAAUAACAACCGGAAACGGUUGCUAAUACCGCAUAAUGCAGCGGCACCUAAUGGUGACAGUUGUUAAAGCGGGGGGAUCGAAAGACCUCGCGUCUGAAGAGGAGCCUGCGGCGGAUUAGCUAGNGGUAAGGUAAUGGCUUACCAAGGCGACGAUCCGUAGCCGGCCUGAGAGGGCGGUCGGCCACACUGACACUGACAUACGGGUCAGACUCCGUACGGGAGGCAGCAGGUCGGGAAUUUUGGGCAAUGGGCGAAAGCCUGACCCAGCAACGCCGCGU
rnacentral:rRNA from 1 species